UACGUAGGGUGCAAGCGUUAAUCGGAAUUACUGGGCGUAAAGCGUGCGCAGGCGGUUUUGUAAGUCUGAUGUGAAAUCCCCGGGCUCAACCUGGGAAUUGCAUUGGAGACUGCAAGGCUAGAAUCUGGCAGAGGGGGGUAGAAUUCCACGUGUAGCAGUGAAAUGCGUAGAGAUGUGGAGGAACACCGAUGGCGAAGGCAGCCCCCUGGGUCAAGACUGACGCUCAUGCACGAAAGCGUGGGGAGCAAACAGG
rnacentral:rRNA from 1 species